UCCUACGUUGAAGUACCCUGAACAAGCCCGAUCCCGUCUGAUCUGGGAAAGCUAAGCAGGGUCGGGCCUGGUUAGUCCUUGGAUGGGAGACCACCUAGGAAGACCAGGUGCUGUAGGCA
rnacentral:rRNA from 1 species